AUUGAACGCUGGCGGAAUGCUUUACACAUGCAAGUCGAACGGCAGCACGGACUUCGGUCUGGUGGCGAGUGGCGAACGGGUGAGUAAUACAUCGGAACGUGCCCAGUCGUGGGGGAUAACGUAGCGAAAGCUACGCUAAUACCGCAUACGAUCUAAGGAUGAAAGCGGGGGACCGUAAGGCCUCGCGCGAUUGGAGCGGCCGAUGGCAGAUUAGGUAGUUGGUGGGGUAAAGGCUCACCAAGCCGACGAUCUGUAGCUGGUCUGAGAGGACGACGAGCAACACUGGGACUGAGACACGGCCCAGACGCCUACGGGAGGCAGCAGUGGGGAAUUGUGGGCAAUGGGCGCAAGCCUGAUCCGGCCAUGCCGCGGGCAGGAUGAAGGACCUCGGGUUGUAAGCUGCUUUUGUACGGAACGAAAAGGCUCUGGUUAAUACCUGGGGCUAAUGGCGGUACCGUAAGAAUAAGCACCGGCUAACUACGUGCCAGCCGCCGCGGUAAUAC
rnacentral:rRNA from 1 species